CUAAGCAAUAUGAUGAAGAGGAGCAAACGCAAAGAGGAAUCUAUGAGGUAAGUACAUCCUCUGUUGAAUCUCAAAUUUCAAAACUAACAUCUCUUGUGGAAAAGAUCGCCCUUGGCCAAGUGCAACAGAUUCAAGCACCCCAGCCUCCUAGGCCAUGUGAGAUCUGCUUACAUGUAGGACACCCCACUGAUCAAUGUCCUACUCUCCAAGAAGAUCAUCACCAAGUCAAUGCUAUUGGGAGGUACAACAACCAACCUAGAUAUGAUCCAUACUCCAAUACAUACAAUCCAGGUUGGAAAGAUCACCCCAAUUUUAGCUAUGGAAAGAGCAACAGUGAUCAGAACUACCAAAGUUACCAAAGACAUCAAGCCCAACCAGCACCUUCAACUCCAAAUCAGAACCUUGAGAAGAUCAUGCAAACAAUGAUGGAAACAAUGGUGAGCACCAUGCAAGGCGUGCGACAAGACCUAGGCCAAAUGACCACAUCUAUGCAAGGCGUGCGACAGGACCUAAGCCAAAUGGCCACCUCUAUAGGCCAACUGCAAUCCCAAGGUAAGCUCCCUUCUCAAACUGAAAUCAACCCCAGACAGAAUGUUAGUGUUAUUACUUUGAGAAGUGGCAAAGAGCUUCGAGAUACUAAUCAUGAGCAAGAAAAAGAACCAAAGCCACCUGAAGCCUCUCCAUCGCAAUCCGCAGCUCCCCCUGCGCAAAAGACUGACCCAAAGGUAAGCUUUCACAUUCCACCUCCUUUUCCCAAGAGAUUUGAAAGAACACAAAAAGAAAAGGAAGAAAAGGAGAUCCUUGACACUUUCAGAAAAGUACAAAUCAAUAUACCUCUGCUAGAUGCUGUUAAGCAGAUUCCCAGGUAUGCUAAAUUUCUGAAAGAACUUUGCACCAAUAGAAGAAAGCUUGCAGAAAGAGAAAAAGUAAGUGUAGGUGAGGUUGUGACUGCUGUUAUUAAAAGAGAACUCCCUACUAAAUGCAAAGACAAAG
rnacentral:lncRNA from 1 species